AAGGUAUAAUAAUUGUGUGUUAAUAAUGAUUCGUUAGUUGAAAAAAAAAAGUUUAUAUUUAACCUAUAUCUAUUAUCAUAGAACACUCUAAAUAUUUUACAUGGAAAUUAGGAUUUCGUGGGUCAAGCAUACAUUAAUUCUCAGAGUUACUCCUGCAAUCAAGCUAGAUUCUCCACAUUCGAGAUUAAGGUUAUAAAACUUAGAAAGCCGGUGGCAAGUGAGACCUUGGAGACUUGUGUGUGUACUCGCUGAGGAUCAUAUAAUAGAGGGUGGUCUAGGGCACGCUUCAUUUAUUUUAUUUAGUGUUAUUAAAUUAAUGUCGCAGUUAUUUUUAUUUAUUAAUUAUUAUGUCUUUUAAGUGCAAACUGAGCUCAAAUAUGAAAUAUUUUUAUGUUUAUAAAUAAAAGCGACAUUAUAAUUUUUCCGCAUUUUAACGCUUGUAACUAAAUUAGUAAUUUAUGAAAAAGUACGGGCGUUACAGUUUGGUAUCAGAGCCACAGUUAUAUUGGUCCCGAACGUUCUCACGAGUUACACAUAUCGGCUAAAAAGGUUCCACUCGCUACCAAGUAAGUAUCAUUUUUGCAUGAUUCUAUUUUAUGUGCAUUUUAGUAAUUUCAAAAGUUCUUUUUAUUUUCAGAA